rnacentral:rRNA from 1 species
AUUGAACGCUGGCGGCAUGCCUUACACAUGCAAGUCGAACGGUAGGGGAAGCAAUUCCCUGAGAGUGGCGAACGGGUGAGUAAAGCAUCGGAACGUGCCCAGUCGUGGGGGAUAACUACUCGAAAGAGUGGCUAAUACCGCAUACGACCUGAGGGUGAAAGCGGGGGACCUGCAAGGGCCUCGCGCGAUUGGAGCGGCCGAUGUCAGAUUAGGUAGUUGGUGGGGUAAAGGCCUACCAAGCCUGCGAUCUGUAGCUGGUCUGAGAGGACGACCAGCCACACUGGGACUGAGACACGGCCCAGACUCCUACGGGAGGCAGCAGUGGGGAAUUUUGGACAAUGGGCGCAAGCCUGAUCCAGCCAUGCCGCGUGCAGGAAGAAGGCCUUCGGGUUGUAAACUGCUUUUGUCAGGGAAGAAAUCUUCUGGGUUAAUACCUCGGGAGGAUGACGGUACCUGAAGAAUAAGCACCGGCUAACUACGUG